rnacentral:rRNA from 1 species
GACGAACGCUGGCGGCGUGCCUAAUACAUGCAAGUUGAGCGCUGAAGGUUGGUACUUGUACCAACUGGAUGAGCAGCGAACGGGUGAGUAACGCGUGGGGAAUCUGCCUUUGAGCGGGGGACAACAUUUGGAAACGAAUGCUAAUACCGCAUAAAAACUUUAAACACAAGUUUUAAGUUUGAAAGAUGCAAUUGCAUCACUCAAAGAUGAUCCCGCGUUGUAUUAGCUAGUUGGUGAGGUAAAGGCUCACCAAGGCGAUGAUACAUAGCCGACCUGAGAGGGUGAUCGGCCACAUUGGGACUGAGACACGGCCCAAACUCCUACGGGAGGCAGCAGGAGGGAAUCUUCGGCAAUGGACGAAAGUCUGACCGAGCAACGCCGCGUGAGUGAAGAAGGGUGUCGGAUCGUAAAACUCUGUUGGUAGAGAAGAACGUUGGUGAGAGUGGAAAGCCCAUCAAGUGACGGUAACUACCCAGAAAGGGACGGCUAACUACGUG